CUUAACCUCGCUAAUUGACAAUUAUUCGCAAGUUAUAAUAUAAAAUUUACGGCUAAAACUUGGCCAAAUCGUGUUAAAGGCGCACAACAGUUCAUUUUCUGUUCUAUAAAUAGCUCAUUCUUAUAAAUUGUCUGUUGCUUUCACUCAAUAAACUUUAAUUUUUUCUUCAAAUUGUUUAAUUUUGUAACCUUAAAUUCAAAUUGAUAAUCCGAUGACACUAUCAAACAGGUUAUAUAUGUAUGUUCUACACACAGGUUGGUUAAUUUUAUCUUGACCUCAAUACACAGGCUGCCAUUUGUUAACAGGCAAGAACCGCAGCCUCUCCCUGUAUUGCAGAGGGGCGUCAACAGGGAAAAUCUUUUUUUUCUAUCACAAUUUUAAACAUGUACAUACUAUUUUAGCCGCAAUGUUUAAUUAAUAUAAAGACAGGAAUGAGUUAUGAACACGCUAGCAUAUUUAUUGUACUUUUAAACUGCUGCUAAAAAUUGUUUUACUAUGGCCAUCAAGCACUUGUAAACAUAAAAUCAGCGUUACCCCUUAUCAUAUUUCUGGCCUCAGAGGAUCGCGCUUUGUGAGUUUUGAAUUUGGCAACAACGGCCAUGCCUAACUUUCCUGAUCAUCUUUGUGUUACAAAAUUUAGACAUGUGUAAACCGUUAUGAGGUUUAUUUUGGGGGGGAAAUACAGUGAAACUUAUUUACAGCAAUUUGAUGUAAACCAAGUCUUAUGGAGUUGAGCAAAGUGUGCGCGUUAUGUGGACUAAGGGCAUGAACACAGGAACCUUAAUGUUAAUAUCGAAAAUUUGAAAGCUGUUGAAAACAACUGACAUUAUGCUAAACAAUUGAAAAACAAGGAAAGCAACAAUACCAACAAGUCACUGGGAGGGUGGCAAGUUGCCUUCUUAUAUGUAAGCUGUCCUAGUAUGAGCAUUGAGAAACAGCCUGAUAAAAAUAAAAACUAGCUCAAAAGCAGAAGGACAAUGGACAUGGGAGACUAAAAAGUAGAAUGUCAGCCAUACCAUUUACAUGAACCCUACCAAAAUCAAAGUUUUGAAAGAAUAUGUGAGAGAAGUAUUUUUAGUGAUGCAAUAACCGAAAAGAUUCAAGGAAGAUCUGAGCUACUCUAGAAACUUUUCAAGGAACUACCUGUACACAAUAGUGAACACGUGGACUGUAAAUCAAAAAGUUUAACUUAUUAUAUUAAGUGGAAGACAAACAUUAGGAAAAUAAAAAGAUAUUCUGGAUGUGAUAUCUGUAUUAUGAUGUGUUUAAAAAAGGAAAUACACAGGAAUUAUGUUGUAAGUCUGGCCACUGAUUUAUAAAUGAAAUGAAGGCAAUGAUUCCACCCCAUCCGGUGCUAAUUUAAAAGGACUUAGUCAUUGGAUUCAAAAGCAUAAAUCAUCAGAAGUUUUUCUGUCCAUUGUAAAAAGUGUUCAUCUUUACCCUAAAGCGGAUUCGGACGCAACCUUUUAUUAAGGCGGAUUCCACCUUAUACUAAGGCGGAUUCCACCUUAUAUUUAGGUGGAUUCCACCUUAUUUUAGGGCGGAAUCUUGCAUAUUCCGCCUUAUAUUAAGGCGGAUUUCAAUUUAUCAUAAGGUGGAUUCCACCUAAGAUUAAGGCGGAUUCCUUUUUUGUUUUAAGGCGGAUUCCUUUUUGUUUUAAGGCGGACUUUUAU